rnacentral:snRNA from 1 species
UGCCGAAUCAACUAGCCC